rnacentral:rRNA from 1 species
UACGUAGGGGGCUAGCGUUGUCCGGAAUCAUUGGGCGUAAAGCGCGUGUAGGCGGUUCGGUAAGUCCGCUGUGAAAGUCGGGGGCUCAACCCUCGGAUGCCGGUGGAUACUGUCGGACUAGAGUACGGAAGAGGCGAGUGGAAUUCCUGGUGUAGCGGUGAAAUGCGCAGAUAUCAGGAGGAACACCGAUUGCGAAGGCAGCUCGCUGGGACGUUACUGACGCUGAGGAGCGAAAGCGUGGGGAGCGAACAGG